CGUAAGCGUGGCCGGUCGGGAAGGCAACGGCGACUGUGCCGCUGUAUGGCGCGAUGACGGUGCCGUCAGUCGGUUCGAUGGCGAUGCCGUCGCCCA
rnacentral:tRNA from 1 species